AUGCGGUAUGACGGUACCCUUUCGAAUAAGAGGUUGCUAACUCUGUGCCAGCAGCAGCGGUAAUACAGAGACCUCGAGCGUUAUCCGGAUUUACUAGGCGUAAAGCGUCUGUAGGGGGUUUGUUAAGUUCCAAGUAAAAUCUUAAGGCUCAACUUUAAGUUCGCUUGGAAAACUAAUAAACUGGAGUCCAGCAGAGGUGCAUGGAACUUGCGGUGUAGGAGUGAAAUCCGUUGAUAUCGCAAGGAACACCAAAGGCGAAGGCAUUGCACUGGGCUGGUACUGACCCUGAGAGACGAAAGCGUGGGGAGCAAAACGGAUUAGAUACCCGUGUAGCCCACGCCGUAAACGAUGGAUACUAGAUGUUCGGGGAUUCGACCCCCUGGGUGUCACAGCUAACGCGUUAAGUAUCCCGCCUGGGAAGUACGGCCGCAAGGCUAAAACUCAAAGGAAUAGACGGGGAUCCGCACAAGCGGUGGAGCGUCUGGUUUAAUUUGAUAGUAAGCAAUGGACCUCACCAAGGUUUGACAUCCUAUGACAACCCUGGAAACAGGGCUUCCUUCGGGCAUAGUGACAGGUGCUGCAUGGUCGUCGUCAGUUCGUGCCGUGAGGUGUUCCGUUAAGUCGGGAAACGAACGAAACCCUCGUCGCAUGUUACAAAUUUCAUGCGAGACUGCCCGGGUCAACCGGGAGGAAGGCGGGGAUGACGUCAGAUCAGCAUGGCCCUUAUACCUUGGGCUACACAGGCGCUACAAUGGCCGGUACAAAGGGUUGCAAAACCGCGAGGUGAAGCUAAUCCCAUAAAGCCGGUCCAAGUUCGGAUUGGAGGCUGCAACUCGCCUCCAUGAAGUUGGAAUCGCUAGUAAUCGUGGAUCAGCCAUACCACGGUGAUACGUUCCCGGAUCUUGUACUCACCGCCCGUCACACCAAGAGAGUUGG
rnacentral:rRNA from 1 species